AGAAACUUAGGAUUACACAAACCGAAGGCCUUCAAAGCCUUAGACAAGAGCUAGACCCUCUUAGUUUCUG
rnacentral:tRNA from 1 species